AUUGAACGCUGGCGGCAGGCCUAACACAUGCAAGUCGAACGAGUGGCGGACGGGUGAGUAAUGUCUGUGACACUGCUUGCUGUUGGGGGAUAACUACUGGACACGGUAGCUAAUACCGCAUACCAUCAGCAGUGCCUAGAUGGGAUUCGUUUGUUGGUGGGGUAACGGCACACCAAGGCGACGAUCCCUAGCUGGUCUGAUAGGAGGACCAGGCACACUGGAACGGAGACCAGAUACAGACUCCAACGUGAGGCAGCGGUGGGGAAUAUUACACAAUGGGCGCAAGCCUGCUGCAGCCAUGCCGAGUGUAUGAAGGAGGCCUUGGGGUUGUAAAGUACAUUCAGCGGUGAAGCGUUACCCGCAGAAGAAGGACCGGCUAACUCCGUGCCAGCAGCCGCGGUAAUAC
rnacentral:rRNA from 1 species